UGUAUAUUGUGUAUAAAUUAAAAAGAUAUAUUUUCUAAAAAGACAUAAAUGAAAAUAAUGUAUAUUAUCAUAUGUUAAACAUAAUUCAAUGAUUGGAUCAUGAUGAUUAAAUCCCACAGAAUCAUAUAUGCAGGUGAACGUAAUCUAAUCUAACAAUAUGAUACAAUACAAGAGAAUCAUUAUUCCAAAGUGCGAAACAGCAUGGUAGACAGUUAGUUUUUAAUCAAGAAAUAUACGGUAUUAUAUACGUGGUGGUAGAAAAAUCAUGGCAGUGAAAGGACAGUGUAUAAGUAAAGUGACGAGAAGAGGCGUCGAGUCGUGUGUGAGAUCCGCAGGAACACGAGAUAACGGUGUGUAAUGAGGACAUUCUUGAAAGCACUCGAAAUGCAAUCUCUGCACAGCCGACAAAUUGUCUGAGAACAGUGUCGUUCUCAGAGCUGGGCCAGAGGCUGCCAUCAGCUGUAAUUAAUUUUCAAAAAUCAUUAGAUUGAUAAAAACUAUUGAACUAAAAGGAAAAUUCCCAGGAAAGACAAUAAAAGAACAAAACCAUGAAAAUCAUAAAAAAAUUUUCCUUAAGAAGAAAAAAAUCCAAGAAAGUAAAGGAAUGUACCAAAGCUAUAAAACUUUCAUAGUUGAAGUGAAGAAACUUCUCUCGAAUGUGUUCUUUAUCGACCAUUCCAGACUAACUAAUGUCGAACACCUGCAACCGUCCCAUUGAAAUGCUCCCGCUAAACGCUCGAUCGAUGGAACCUCGAUGAAUUCAUAUCACUUCCCGUCAGAACGGAAACGCCGCGGAUGGAAUAACUGAACGAUUGGAAACGCGUCUACGCUUGUAAGCGAUCGUUUCCUUCUGCAACUAGGCGAGGCAUCCUCGUCGAUGCAUCCCCGUGCCAAAAAGAUGCGUGUCUUCAAUGUUUAACGAUGAAAUCGACGGAGUGAAUUCAGAUCGCCACAGCACGGUUAUCAUUCUAAAUUGAACGCUUUUUCCUUUUUGCGUUCUCUCUUGGCAACCGGUCUUGAUCGGAUCGCCAUGGUUCCACGAGCCAAUUUACCACGAGGCAACAAGUGAUGAGUUAACACGGUCUAGUAUGAUAGGGUUUAAUGUAGUGGAACUUGGCCUGAACUACCUGAUUGCCAAGAGAAACGAUAUGAUGGCGAGGAGAGAAAAUAGUUUGAUCAGACAAAUGAGUAGGUAAAUGAUAAAAAUGACAUCGAAGAAUAAUUGUUGGCGACUGGAACUAAAGAUAUUUUCUUUAGUUCGUUGACAUCGAGGCGAUUAUUCGUAAUCUAUUAAUUUCUUCUGAAAGUAAAUAAUAAGAAUGUUUAAAAGUCGAGUAUUCGUUGAAUAAUCGAUUUAAUUGAAGUAUACAAAAAAUCACUUGACCAUUGAAAGAUCAUCAUUUAAACAGUAUCAAUCAAACCAUCAGCGAGAAAGUUCAUGUUAAUAACACAAAGAUAUUGUUCUUUAAAUUUGAGUGACCGGUCAAGCAUCUCAAGAAAACCAUGUUGAAAGAACAAGUAGAACGUUCAAGUACAAGAAUCUUCUUACCAAUUUGAUGAAUAAUGAAGAGAACAUUCCAGGAGAAGAGAAAAAAGAGAGCAUAAGGACAAGCGUUGAAAUGAACGAGAGAAACUGGUCAAGUUUCGAUUUUCAUGGGAUCUGGUUAAAUAAAAAUUCAUCGGUUGAACUGAUUUUCUUGGCAUGCCGUCCGAUAAGCAUGGUGUUAAGGUUACCUAAGCACUUUCUAUGCCAGUCGAUGGCCGCUCGCUUUGAACGAGCCUCGAUUCGGAAUGGAAAUUAUGUCGUCGGUCGUUGUUACGUGGAAUGUCGUUCUCCGAUAAUGAGGGACACCGCCAAGGAUACGUGCUUACUUAAACCGCUAUUGUUUGAUUUCAUUCACGAGAAGCUUACACCAUAUCCAUUUUUAUUGAAUUAUUAAUAUGAUCCCAAGAUUUGAUAGUAAUAUUUAAUGAGAUCACUGGUACAUAAUAGUAUUAAAUGUUUAUUACAAUUCAUUCACAAGAAGUUUGCAUCCUUUUGAUGUGAAAAUAAUCUAAAAAGGAAUCUUUAUUGUACAAGUGUUAUUGACAAAAAACCUAUUGGAACAUUGAAUCAUUAAGCUUAUUUAUAUUUAUAUUAUGACAUUAUAUCAAUUGCUAAAAGAAAUAAAAAAUUAUCUCAAAAGACUUGAGUUAUUAUCAAAAUCAAAAGAUGAAUCAAAUAAUUUAAGAAAAAGAAAUAAGAAGAGAGAUGUCUUUGAGGAUGCCCGAGCGUAAAGAUUGAUUGAAGAUAGCGGUUCGCUCAUGGAAAGAAACGUUAAUCUAUGUCCAACAUGCACCAGGAGCCGGAAUUAGUUUGCCAGCCGGACAAUCGCGCAUUAAUCUUCUACUUCUGUUGCAUUCGAAGAGAGAGAGAAAGAGAGAAGAGGCUCUUCCUAUUAGGGAGAAACGGGAGUAUUGUGAGAAUCUAGCUUUUGGAACCAUCCUAUCUGAGCAACAAUGGAUCUGCUUGCUAGAAGAAUUACGAGUGAAAGAGUGAAAGACUUAAAUCUAACUGCACAUAAACGACCUUCGAUGUGCACAAUUUAUGAUUCACAAGAAAUAAUUUUGAUAUUUGAAGAGUUGUUUUAUUAUAAAAUUAUUAUUUCAAUACAACUACGCAACAACUGAAGGUUCGACUAGAAAUAGAAAAUUAUGCAUUGAGCAAGUAAUUUUCAAGAAGUUCUUGAAAAUUAGAAUUACAAAGAGUUUCUUAUCUUCGAUAAGUGUAGUUAGAUUAAUGCGAAGAUUAAUACAGUAUGAAACAUAAUUAACUAGAAGACUAACUUGAUAAAAUGAUUUUUCUCCAAUAAAUGAAAAAAAUGAAUGACAAAGAAGAACUAAUAUCGCUUUAUAUGCCGAGUAAGCACGCUGACACGAUUCCAAAGGUACUUCCAGCUAAGAAAAAAACCAAGAUGAAGGAAACGAUACCAGAUAAGGCACAAUCACGACGCCCAUACUCUGACUCACGUAUCCUUCUUGCACGGCUAUUGAAAGAGGACGAACACGAUGGACUAGAUAAAUGGUAAAAGAUUGAUGAAACAUCAAAUUACAAUGUAUCUAAAAUUGAAAUAAAAAUGUAACAAAUAAUCUAUCGAUUUACAAGAGUAAUCUAUGAGAAGAAUGAAAAUAAAAUAAAAGUUGAUGCAAUAGUAAGGUUCCAAUAAUCUCUUAAGGGAAUCGUUUCUGAUUAAAAGGAAACCUCCCACAUGUAUAAAAUUGCACAUCACACGUGACUGCGUCCACGGAUUGUUUCCACGGACACGGGGCGCAACAUCCUGAGGGCGAUCAGAGAUCAUUCCAUCAGUGCACGCGUAGGAAGUUAUUCCACUUGUCCAACAGUAUCGAACGAUACCUACUUUUACCUCCGGUUGACCUUCGCGUUGCGACUUACUUUUCUCAAGCUUGACUGAUCAGAGAUCUUGUCAAAAACAUACGAGCUGAGUACCUGUAAGAUUCUACUAGUACCUAGCUAAUGUCUGAUUCAAUAUUCCAAUAUUGUGAUAUACUAUACAAGAAGAUUUGAAGUAAUUGAAAAAUCUUAACAUCAGAUAAUAAUAAUUCUGAUAUAAAAUAUCGAGGAUUUAAAUUGUUGAAGUGUUCGAAAUAUUCAGAUGAAAGUACAGGAAAUGAAUAUUUGAAAACUAAUUAUU